UUAUGGUAUGAAUAUAAUUUGUAAACCUAACCAGAAGGUAAUUUUGUAAAUAUUUUAGUUCUCCUAGGUUGUAAAUGCAACUGUUUUGGAGGAUACGGUGUAGAGUUUUUGACCUGUGAAACUCUACUGUCAAUCAAAAGUUUCAGAUUUUGAAAAAUGAUGUGGGAGUCCUCUCUGUAUGCUGUGAAUACCACUGGUGAAUGAAGAAACUGCCUUGACCUGUUGAUAGGGCAAAAGAACAGAGCUAGGUGGGGAAAACUAAACAGAAUGCGGAGUUGAGGGAGAAGCCAUGUAGCCCAGCCAGAGACGGAUGUCGGAACUUUAACUGGAUAAAAACAGAGUUAAAAACAUAACUAAAUUGAAAAGUUUGCACAACUGCAUAUAUACAUUGAGAAACCACUACAGAUAAGUACACGGGGUCAUCCAAACCUGUCAGCUUGGAGCCAAAUGUCACAGCAAAACAACCCCGGACCUCUUAACUCUUUUUUUUUUCUUUGUAAGUUUAACCUGGUGUGUUUUUAUUUACCAGUGGAACUCGGUCUCUGAAAGUGGGUGUCUUGGUAAUAGAAUGUGAUUGAUUAUGUUAGCAGUCACAAAAACCUAUACAUUGUAUGUUUCCACCAGAAGUUUCAGGGAGCAGGUUAAUUGUUUCCAGAAGCGUGGGAUGGGAAGGAGAGGUUGACUCAGGAACCUGAGGAAAUGUUUUUGAAAUGGUCAGUGGCACUGUAACCUAAUUUUCUCAGUGUUGCCGGGCUGUAUGCAUUUGUCAAAAUUUAUAAGAUUGUUUAUUUUAAAAUGGCAAACUUUAAAUAAAUCGCAAUACUACAAAGGCGAUUAAAACAUUUUUAAAUCAUGAAUAAAUGCUUGCAUUGACGAUAGAAUGAGAAAUCAUUUGUUUAAGAGUGUAUCGAUACUAAUUUUAGAAGUCAUAAAAUUUCUUAGUAAUGGCCAUAGCAAAAUUAAAAGGGUUGUAUUUUAGUAAUGUAAAGGUUAAUUGGGUAGGGUUUUUGUGAAAGAAGAAUAUGGAGAAAAAAUUAGUUCUAAAAUAACUUACUGGUUUGUUUGGUGAUUUUUGAACACUCUAGCUAAACCAGUAAAUAUUUUACAUGGCUGUGUUAGUUUCUCUACCCUCUACUUGGUAAUUACUGUUCUGUUUCUGGUACUAGUUUUGCCUCUUCUAGAAUGUUCUGUAGGUACAUCACCCAUCAUGACUGUAUUAAUACAGUGACUGAGUUUCUUCAUUUAGUAUAAUGCUUUGUUUAGACAUAUCCGUAUUAUUUACUUGACAGCUCUAAUCAUUUAUGUGAUUAACUGAGGAUGGUGCUUUUAAAAAAACAUACUUGUUGGAAUAAAUUGCCUUGUAGUUACGCACUCAUAAACUUGAGUGUGUGCUACGGAGCGGUCCUCCACCUUCCUCACGCUGGGACCUUAUAUCCCUCCCCGUGUUGUGCUCCUCGGCCAUAGCAUUGCUGCUGUUGCUACUUCGUUACUGUAAUUUUGAGACUGUUAUGAAUCGUAUGUAAGUAUCUGUAUUUUCAGAUGGUCUUAGGUGACCUCUGUGAAAGGGUAGUUCCUCUCCUGGGGUCAUGACUCACUGGUUGAGAACCACCGUGUUUAGGGAUGGUAAACACCUUCAUAGUCCAGUGAGCUGUUAGAGCCGUCUUUGGUUCUGUUUGUUAUACUGUAUUACAUUUGGCCGUUUUCAUACCUGUAAAUUUAGUCAGUUGACCUUGAUUUUUUUAUUUGUCACAGCUAAAAUUUUGGGCUUAGGAUGAAUUUGUAUUAAGUAGUAGAUAGGAAAUGUUUUGGUUUUUGUUAGAAUUAAUUUUGGGUCAUGAGGUAUUUUUAUCAUGUUUGAUAUUUAUUCAAUAGCAUUCAUUCAGUAAUGUGUUAAGUGGUGAACAUUUUGUAAGCAUUUGCAGAUGUGUAAGGUGCUGUAACAUAUACACAAGCUAGAAUAAAAUGUAAUUCCUAGUUAAUACAAGGUAAAAUAAAAAGGAUGUGUGUAGUGAUAUAUCAUUUGUAUUCCAAUAAAUAAAUCUUACCUGAAGACCAGAGGCUAAGCUAAAGCCACUAGAGGUCAGGCAGUGGUGACACACCCUUAAUCCCAGGAUUUGUGGGGACAGUCAGAUGAAUCUCUGUGAGUUCAAGGCCACCCUGGGCUACACAAGAUCAAUGCAGAAACAAAUCCUGGUGGUGGUGGCCUACACCUUUAAUCCCAGUCCUAGGGAGUCAUGCUUUUAAUCCCAGCAAUAGAGGGAAUAUAAAAUGGGAGGAGAGAGAGGCUUAGUCUGUUUUAGUUAUCAUAUGUAUCAAGGUCGCCCAGCCUUGGUAGAGGUAAGACUUCUCUAGAGGCUUG